GAUGAACGCUGGCGGCGUGCCUAAUACAUGCAAGUCGAGCGAACGGACGAGAAGCUUGCUUCUCUGAUGUUAGCGGCGGACGGGUGAGUAACACGUGGAUAACCUACCUAUAAGACUGGGAUAACUUCGGGAAACCGGAGCUAAUACCGGAUGAUAUUUUGAACCGCAUGGUUCAAAAGUGAAAGACGGUCUUGCUGUCACUUAUAGAUGGAUCCGCGCUGCAUUAGCUAGUUGGUAAGGUAACGGCUUACCAAGGCAACGAUGCAUAGCCGACCUGAGAGGGUGAUCGGCCACACUGGAACUGAGACACGGUCCAGACUCCUACGGGAGGCAGCAGUAGGGAAUCUUCCGCAAUGGGCGAAAGCCUGACGGAGCAACGCCGCGUGAGUGAUGAAGGUCUUCGGAUCGUAAAACUCUGUUAUUAGGGAAGAACAUAUGUGUAAGUAACUGUGCACAUCUUGACGGUACCUAAGCAGAAAGCCACGGCUAACUACGU
rnacentral:rRNA from 1 species